rnacentral:lncRNA from 1 species
ACACCUGGAUGUGCUCACUCAACCAAGAAUAUAGAGAAAGAGCUUCUGCCCUGAGACUCAGAAAAAUAUUCUCCUGUGCUUUGGUUCAGUAUAGAUUUCUAAACCCUGAUCAUUGCUUAAGAGAUAUUCACUGAGGGUCCUACGUCUCUGCAAUUUGUGUAUGAAUAACAGAAUAAUUUCCCUCUUUUGUUUCGCCUUUCCUGUUCCUGAAUCUAAAUAAAGAUGGCUUUUUAGUAUUAAAAGUGGAAGAAAAUUACAGGUAAUUAUCUUUGACGGUAAAAACGCUGUAAUCAGCGGGCUACAUGAAAAAUUACUCUAAUUAUGGCUGCAUUUAAGAGAAUGGAAAAAAACCUUCUUGUGGAUAAAAACCUUAAAUUGUCCCCAAUGUCUGCUUCAAAUUGGAUGGCACUGCAGCUGGAGGCUUUGUUCAGAAUUGAUCCUGGGGAGCUACGAACCCAAAGUUUCACAGUAGGAAGGGGGAAAAAAGAAAAGAAAACAUUUUUCCUAAUGUAACAAUGCGAAUGCUAGAAAAUGACAAGACUGAUCGGUUUUAAACCAUUCUGAAGACUGACUGAGCGUGGAAGUUGCUCAACAAAAAAAGGAACGGGUAUAUUGUUGCUGAGACAAAGGAAAACCCACUCCCUUGGAGGAGCAUGACCUUUUCCUGUAAUUCUUCCCACUGCUGUUGUUGAGCUCCUUGGAUCCUGGCUCCUGGACACCAUCAUCAAGAAGACUUUAUGGAUGGGCUGUCCACCCACUGAGAGAAGAGGAGCAUCAGCUACAGUUUCUCUCUAGAUUGCCUUCUUCAUUUUGAGUAAUGACUGUCAGCAGGGUCAGAUUAAACACAAAACAACUGGACAAUUGCUUGGAGGACUAAACUAUAAGGGCACUAACAUGUCAAUAGUAGGCUAACACAUCCAUGGAAAAUAUAUUUACCAGCUCUUCUCUCAGGGAGGAUUCUGUGUGGGGUUGGAAGUAAUGAUUUGUUAAAUUCCUUAGGGGUAGAAAGUAGGGCAUAAUCAGAAUAUAGAGGAAUAUGCUGUUUGACUUCAGGGUUUCUGUUUUUCUUACUAGGAUAUAUAAAACAGGGACUCUAGCUAGAUUGUUUAUGACCACAGAGGGUAGGCUGAGUGCUCCCAUGAUCUUCCUGCUUGGUUCUUGCCCAUACAGAGGUCAGCCUUUCCUCUAAUAAAGAUUGAACAAGUAGUGGUCUGAGGGAGACACCAAUUCAUUACCCUACAUGUCUCUUCUCUGCACUCCAGGGCUUUGAUAAUAAAGACACUGGCAGACUAUCUAUCUUCCAUUUCUAUAAUGUGAGCCCUUAGGGAGUCUUCGUUCACUUGGGGGUGAGGGUCAUUGCUCACAGAGUAGUUCAAGUCAAAUGGAACUUGAACUCUUUGCCUAUGGGCCUGGUGGUCAGACUCUGUGUUGAGUUCAUUAGAUUAUUGGAGACACAAGGUAGAGCUGGAUGCUUCAAAAAUAUUUGGCUAAAGGAUGACAUUGCUGGUUAUUUGUAGAUAAAGCCAUGAUGGAACCUGCUUGGAAUCAUGAAAUAUGGAACUGGUGGUCAUGUUUAAAAAUACAACUAAUAGUUAAGUACCUACUGGACACUGUAGAGACUUAGGGGCUAGACAGACAUGGUUCCUGCCCCCUUGGAGCUUACACUGUAGCUUCCCCUUAGGUAUGAAGAACAGUGGCUACAACUAACAAAUGGCCACAAAGAUAUAAUUGAGCCAGUGUUCCAAUUAUUAGGGUAAUUCCUAUUUCCUUAAUCAUUCCUAUUGACCAUGUUCUAUAAGCCUGCAUUCUAUAAAUGGCGUAUGACCAUGGGCUGUUUCCCCCCAGCAAGUUGUACAAAGUUCUGUGGUACCAGGGAAAGGGCUUAAGGUUAGCAGGGCCUCUGCGGAAGGACAUAUGAAGUGACUUGGGUUAGGAAACAGGAAGGGAUAGGAUUCAAGAACAGCUAUUGCUUCUGUUCUAUAUAGGAAACUGCAGCGUGAAAAAUGCUGGGCUGGGAAUUUUGAGACCUGGGUUUUAGUUUGUGUUCUAAUACUAACAAGCUAUGUGACUGUGGGUAAGUCAUUUCACAUUCCAUUUGGAUGCCUCUUGAGUGACUCCAGGCCUCUCCAGCUCUAAAACAUUAAGAUCAGGCCCUACGCUACAGCUGGCCAGUGUGUAAUUCUUCUGUUUCUAUGCUGUUAGGUCAAAUAGAUCUUCAAUAGUUACUUGAUUGUUAUUACUUUUUUCUGAAGUGGGUGUUUUAUCAAUGUUUUAGGAUACAGUGAGUCUGCUUCUCCCCUUUGGAGUUAGGAAGGUUGUAGGAAUAUACACUGUAGAGCAUAUGGGAGCUUUAUCCCCUCCUUUUUUCCCCGCUACCUUUCUCCCUCUCCUUCCCUUCAUCACAUUUCUAUUGAGCAUAUGCCAUUGCCGUGUACCAGGUGUGUGCUAGGUUUGGAGAUACAAGGUAAACCUGAGACUUUCCCAGUCUCCAGGAGACAAAACCCUAAUUUCUUUCAUCUGCUGUCUUUCUCUUUGGAAAGAAUCAACGAUAUCCCAGGGGAAUGUGCCCAUGUCCCAGGGUAACCAACUACAGACAGAUGCCCCAUUCUACUCAAGCAACUUUUAGAGUGCCUUGAGAUACACAUCAGAUAAUUAUGCAGGGCCAGGCAUGGUGCUGCACACUUGUAAUCACAGCACUUUGGGAGGCCGAGGCAGCAGAUUGCUUGAGCCCAGGAAUUCAAGUGUAGCCUAGGGAACAUGGCAAAACCCCAGCUCUACAAAAAAAUACACAAAUUAGCUGCGUGUGGUGGCCUAUGACAGGAGGCUGAGAUGGGAGGAUUGCUUGAGCCUGUGAGGUCGAGGCUGCAGUGAGCCGAGAUCAUGCCAUUACUCCAGCCUGGGUGACAUAGGGAGACCCUGUCUUGAAAAAAAAAAAAAAAAGAUAAUUAUUCAGCCCUAGAGUCAUUGUGAAAAGAUCUAUCUUCAGAUAUAAGGAAGAAACAAUCUUUUAUUUCUUAGGAUAAAUCUGUAGAAGGACCUCCAGACAGUGAAGGCCACUGACUACUUUAUACUCUGUAAGCCAUCCCUCCCUGGUAGGAAGGACUAUUUCCAAUCUUACAGAGUACCUCUCAGCAAAUAGACGUUUUCACAUAUACUGUGAUUCAUACAUCCCUAUGGCUGGUGACCUCUUUAAAAAGGAAAGGAAAAAGCCUAAUCAAACAAAAAGAUGCUGCUAGUAAUUCUUACCCUAUUGUGAAUCCUAUAUAAGCAAAUUUGUAUCUUUGUUUUUUCCUACAUUAGCAGAUCUAUUUGAUGUAUAUCUCUGAGUGCAGAAAAUAUUUUAUGGAAAAAUCAAUAUAUGGAAUUUCAAAUUCAGAAUUGCUGAUACACACUAUUUGGUUUCACAAUUUUAUCCUAGGAAAUAGUAUUAGAGAUUUCAAUUUCUGGCUUAAAUGGUAGAAUUAAUUACUCUUAACUCUUAAUUUUACUUCUGAGUUGAGGUCAAGGAACAGGCAGACACCUGCAGUUAACGUCUAUACCUCUCCAUGGCCAAGAGUUUUAAUUUUCUCGUCUUCAAUUUUGUAGAUGUUCAUCAUUACUAAAUGGAUUGAUUAGUAUUUUAUCUCCUCUCCUUGUCCUUACUUUCCCUCUGGUAAAUAUGUUAUAAACAGUGUAAGGCUCCUAAGAUAGAGUAGCUGGUAGGACUUAGAAGAGAAACAAAGGGCACUGAUAACUCACAUAAAUGGAAAAUUGGCUCUGGAAUAACUGACAACAUAUUCAAGUAUUUUAGUGCAGUGUCACUCUCAUUAAGAAGAAGAGAAUCAGUAAAUCUAUGUGACUCUAAACAUUCUAAUGAAAAAAGGAAUAUUCUGCCAAUUAUCUCACAUUUCUAAAUAUCUGGAUAUUGGCCAUUGUAAAGACAAAACAUACAGAUGAUGGACUUGUCUUUCCACCUCUCAUUUGCAUGGUUUGGAGCAUUGUACCUCCAGCCAUAGACUCUAAGGCAAUUUAUAUUUGCUUCCUCUUCCCUCUUGAGAGAAAACGAAAAUCUUAUUUUUCCAAGCAAUUAAAACUCUUCUGCUUCAGCUAGGAUGAAAGAAUUAGGAGUUCUGUCUCCUUGUAUCUAAUUGCAUGUUUCAUCUUUCUUGUUUUAAUGAUUGACAGAAAACUAAUAAACUGAGACAUCUUUGAAUCCAGGUUGAAUGU